rnacentral:rRNA from 1 species
UACGUAGGGUGCGAGCGUUAAUCGGAAUUACUGGGCGUAAAGCGUGCGCAGGCGGUUUUGUAAGCCAGAUGUGAAAUCCCCCGGGCUUAACCUGGGAAUGGCAUUUGGGACUGCAAGGCUGGAGUUUGGCAGAGGAGACUGGAAUUCCUGGUGUAGCAGUGAAAUGCGUAGAUAUCAGGAGGAAUACCGAUGGCGAAGGCAGGUCUCUGGGCUAUAACUGACGCUCAUGCACGAAAGCGUGGGGAGCAAACAGG